GCCUACGGGGGGCAGCAGUGGGGAAUAUUGGGCAAUGGGCGCAAGCCUGACCCAGCAACGCCGCGUGAAGGAAGAAGGCUUUCGGGUUGUAAACUUCUUUUCAGAGGGAAGAGAAGAAGACGGUACCUCUUGAAUAAGCCACGGCUAACUACGUGCCAGCAGCCGCGGUAAUACGGAGGAUGCGAGCGUUAUCCGGAUUUAUUGGGUUUAAAGGGUGCGUAGGCGGAUUUUUAAGUCAGCGGUAAAAUGUCCGGGCUCAACCCGGGCCGGCCGUUGAAACUGGGGAUCUUGAGUGGGCGAGAAGU
rnacentral:rRNA from 1 species